GGGGUCAUAGCUCAGUUGGUUAGAGCGCCUGCCUGUCACGCAGGAGGUCGCGAGUUCGAGCCUCGUUGACCCCG
rnacentral:tRNA from 1 species